rnacentral:lncRNA from 1 species
AGCAGAAGCAGCGUUCAACCAGAAACACGCUCUUCAGAAAGCCAAGGAAGUUGGACCGUUGUCCUCCUUCAUGUCUUCAGAGGGAAGCCGGCGGAGGCGGCCCUACCUGUACAGAAAAAGAGCCAUCCACCGCAGUCGGCCCACCUACUCACGCUCCCUGGAGGAGGCCCAGGGCAGCCUCAGGGAGGGCCGCCCACCCCCCCCACUCAACCCUUCUAACUCUUUCAUGUCCAGGAGAGAGAGAAGAAAAGGAUGACCAUGUCGGUGUGGGAGCAGAGGACCAGCCAACUGCGGAGACACCGCCAGAUGUCCAGCCGAGAGAUCCUGUUCAGCAGCCCCAGCGAGGAGAAGGACGGGCCCCCGGGUGCCACUCAGGCCCAGCUCGGACGUCCACUGUCCCUGCACCGCAAAGCCAUGACACAACACACCCCCUCCAGCAGCCUCAAACGCCUUACAGACCCUCUGGCUUCCCCUGCAAAGAACCUGGCUUCAGGGUCAUCCGUGUCUGAGGACAUGCCUCUGAAUGCAGCACUGUCUGGGGACAUCCCUGAACCCCCCACAGACCCCAUGAACGUGACCCUUCCGGAUGUCGCUGUCUCUAUGAGUAUACCAGAGCCUCCUCCAUCAGAGCCCACCUCAGAGGGUGGGAAACUUGCCGUUCAUGUGAGCCACAGCACCAGCAGUGAGCGGCGGAGCCCCAGGCUGAACGGAGAACGUCAGCACAAGGCAGUAAAGAAGUUCAGACCGCCAGAAACCAGUGACAGCCUGACUCCUGACAUGGGUGGGCAUGUUGGGUUUAGGGGCAGGAGGCAUCACUGUGACCUUCAGAAGGGGCCCAGAAGUCGGGGGUCUUCACCCACAAAUGGAAGCAAGUUGACAAGUCGCUCCAAUAGCUGGGAGAGAAAGAAAAAUCAAGGAGACGCGAAGGAGAAGGAAGAGAAGACAGAAAAGAAUGAAGAAGAGUUUCAACCUGAGGAGGAGAGGCAAGAUGAGCAGAAAGAGGAAAAGGACUAUGAUCCAGCAGACGACCAGAUCACUGGUGUCCAAUGUCCUCAGACUCAGGAGGAGCCUCCUCAGCAUACAGAUUCACCUCCACCUGCAAACACAGAUAUAAAAAACGACAAGGAGAUGGUACAGAGUCAGGACAAACCUCAGCUGAGCUCCAGUGUGAUUAUCGA